UACGUAGGGCGCAAGCGUUGUCCGGAAUUAUUGGGCGUAAAGAGCUCGUAGGCGGCCUGUUGCGUCCGCUGUGAAAUCCCGGGGCUCAACCCCGGGCCUGCAGUGGAUACGGGCUGGCUAGAGGCAGGUAGGGGAGGACGGAAUUCCUGGUGUAGCGGUGAAAUGCGCAGAUAUCAGGAGGAACACCGGUGGCGAAGGCGGUUCUCUGGGCCUGUACUGACGCUGAGGAGCGAAAGCGUGGGGAGCGAACAGG
rnacentral:rRNA from 1 species